UGGAUACUGAGAUAAAGCCACCUGCU
rnacentral:piRNA from 1 species